rnacentral:misc_RNA from 1 species
AAAAUUUGGAAUUUGAGAUGGUCAACAACAUUACCUGCAAAAUUCUCUUUUUGAGCAGUAACCGAAUUGAAAUCACCCAAGCAAAUCCACGAACUAGAUUGAGAGGAUCUAAGCAUCUUCAUUUCUUGCCAAAAGCUCUUCUUUCGCUUCUCACCGUAGUACCAUAGACCAGGGUAUAGCGCUAUUUCAAAUUCAGAGCAACCAAAACCACAUCCAAAUCAAUGAAACUUUCACAAGCGGCCCUAACAUCAAUUUUAAU